rnacentral:lncRNA from 1 species
AAAUUACCUGGCUACUGAUAGCAGUCUAACAGUUUAAGCCCUAAAAUUAUUAUUGCAUGUUCUGUGCUGAAAUGAGGAAUAUUGUGUGUCUCAGCUGCUACGCAUAUAAUCACCUCUGCAUCAAGCAAGAACAUAGCAGCAGCAAGUCUACAUUGAAAUCACUUUAAUGAUGUGCUGAACAAGAAAGAUGGAGAAUCCAGAGGCAAGGCAGUCCCUAAUCCUGUCGCUGGCUGUAGGAUUCCCAGCUGUCAAAAAUCAAGGAUCCAGCCACAGUGCUGCUUCAACGUCGCUGUAACAGAGGGGCUGACAGCACAGUACCUGUACAUUUUGAAAACAGGUUUGUGGGAAAUGAACACUUCCUGUGCUGUAUAUAGCGAUGCUGGGUGACGUAGCCUGUGCAUUCAGAUUAGAUGACCUCUUCAACCAUGCACUAUUAUGUGAGUACCAUUUGUCUGCUGUUUUCAGUGAUGUCUGAAGACACAAGCUCAGACCUUUCUACACUUGG